AGCGAACGCUGGCGGCAGGCUUAACACAUGCAAGUCGAGCGGGCACUUUCGGGUGUCAGCGGCGGACGGGUGAGUAACGCGUGGGAACGUGCCCUCUGGUUCGGGAUAACUCAGGGAAACUUGAGCUAAUACCGGAUACGCCCUUUUGGGGAAAGGCUUGCUGCCGGAGGAUCGGCCCGCGUCUGAUUAGCUAGUUGGUGAGGUAACGGCUCACCAAGGCGACGAUCAGUAGCUGGUCUGAGAGGAUGAUCAGCCACACUGGGACUGAGACACGGCCCAGACUCCUACGGGAGGCAGCAGUGGGGAAUAUUGGACAAUGGGCGCAAGCCUGAUCCAGCCAUGCCGCGUGAGUGAUGAAGGCCUUAGGGUUGUAAAGCUCUUUUAUCCGGGACGAUAAUGACGGUACCGGAGGAAUAAGCCCCGGCUAACUUCGUG
rnacentral:rRNA from 1 species